CAUGUCGGGCUCCCUGCACUUUUGGUGCGGCCAACCGAACAUAGGGCUGUCUCUUCAGUAUCCCUCCCGUCAUUGAACAUGUCGKGGUUGGGAUUCGAAUCGGUUGCCUGUGUGGUUCUACCCACUUGUGGGUAGCGAAGUCGUCCCUCGAUGUAUAUGUGCUUGCCGUUCUGACAUUUUUGUGUCAUUUGGGUAGCCGAAAUGUUGGCGAAAUCCUUGUGAUGGCGUGCGGUCGAAUGCCGUGCUGCUAUCUCUUGGAUUUUUGUCGGCUCUCACGGAUGCAGUGCCUAUUGAUAAGAUCUGCGGGACUUUUGCCCCGAAGACUUCGGGAGGUCCCUUGUGCGAAUCAUUGCGCUCUUAUACACCGUUUGUCGUGUUGCCUGUGGUGACACGCAGAUCGUGUUCUUUCGAGUUGUCGUUGACAGCAAGAUGCGAACAGAAGUGUCCGGAGCGUGGUCUUGUGCAAAGUGGAAUGCCUCACCGAUCGUAUGAGCAGCGAUUUCCGGUUUUUGCAUCAAGCGAAGGCUCGCCCGUUCGGGUCGGUGCUGGAGCUGAUGCGCCGGCUCUCGUUUAAGACGUGCUACCUGGUUGAU
rnacentral:misc_RNA from 1 species